CAUAGCAUAAAGAGCAGGAAGAGUAUCGUCCUUGACUGUUCUAGAUAUAAUAUUUUGACCUUGACUGUUCUGCUUUGCCCCCACUUGGGGAUGAUAGAAUCUUUUCAGACUGCAAGGAAAAGCCUUCAGAGCUGUCACACUUCUUUGUCCCUGGGAGACACUGGUACAAAACUGGGUUCUUGUGACUUUCUAUUCUUCCUUUAGCUGCCACCUUCAUGCUGAGCAAAGUGUAGGCUCCGGCUGGCCAUCUCCAUGCCACACUGUAGUGUUGUGGAGUUUCUGCUUGGUGAAUCUUCCCCUGCACUAAGACUCUGUAUGGGGAGCCUGGCCUGUGUCUCUGCGAUUGCCCUGGUCUGGUGAUGCCAUCCUUCGUCUCUACAAAGGCAGAGAUGAUCUGCUGUGGAAUUUUGCCUAUAGACCAGAUGUGGGACCACGUUCCACCUAUCUAAUAUCCUUUGCUCGGGGUUUGGAUAUUAUGAUCGUAGAUUCACACACUUUCCCAUCUGGAUCUGGUCUGUAAAUAAUCUGAAUUGAUUCAAGUCUCUCUACUUAAAUUUAGUAUUGUUCCUAAAUAUGCUUUCCAUGCAGGAAGUUCUUUUUGGCUCUUUCCCUACACAGACCAGUCCUAAUCUUGUCACUGUCUGUCACCAUACCCUUCACAAGUUCCUUUAAAUGUAGCAUUCUCUUACUUGUGAAUUAUCUUGGCCAGUCCGUCUUACAGAACAAUAAAAAUUCUUCCUCCCGGAAAUGUACUUUCUCUCCCCUAAGGUAAUUCAUAGACUAUAUAUCAACUCCAGCUUUCCCACACACAACGUUGUCUUUUACCUGGUGAACGCACUAGCAUGCCGUAAGACAAUGGUCAGGCUGCCAGUGGGCUGUGCACACUGCACACACUGCUUAUGCUGACAAAUGAUGUUUCAUUGUUAUUGUGGUCCCCCAUCUGCCUUUAUCCACCUGUUGUCUCUUGUCUCUGACAGAAUGUACCCCUGUAUUCACACCUUAUUGUAAUAAUUUUUGUACAGAGUAUGCCUUGUAAGGUAUUGUUUGAAAACUCAUAAUUUUCUGAUCAUUAUUGUCUUGGUAAAAUAUGUUUGUGGCAACACUGUAUGUGAGUUAUAAGAUUCCACUGUAUGGUGUUAACAAUGCAUGUUCUAAAUCCCAGAGCCCUGUCCAACCUGAGGUUGGCAAACAGGUCUGCCCUAAACAAAAAAAAAGUGCACUCUGCUUAAUUUGCAUUUAAGCAGUAAACAGAGUCAUCAAGCAGAAAGGGAAACAAAGCGCAAACCGGUGAGGGGGAAAAGCAGCAGAGAACAUUCUUCCAUAUAGAUUCUUUGUCUCCUGGUGUCCAGCUGGGAAUGUUUUUCAGGAGAGGGACUGAAACUAUAAAAUGGAGGGACAAACACCCCAAGGCCCCCCCCCACCCUCUCCCUGCCCAUCGCAUUCACUGCGCCUGAAGUGACCAAGGAAGAAAGCAUUGGACUCUGGAGAAGGACCCCUCACCUAUGGGGUUGGGUGAGUCAGACUGCAGAAAGCAUCUGGUGAGAAAUUUUGCUUGAAUGUGAUAUAGUUUAAGUUAUGUGUUAAUAAACGUCUUAUCUUUAUUUUUCUUCUAA